ensembl:lncRNA
ACGAUAGGUGACAGUGAAGGACACUCCAUAUCAAGAUGCUGCACUGUCUGCGCGACAGGCCUGAGCAAUAGGGAUUAAAACGUUGCUGGAAUGGACAACAGAGAUGGAGAAAGAGGGAAGUAAGAGGUGGAGAAAAAGGGAAGUUUUUCAUGGGGAUUUAUGAAGAGGGAAAGGAUAACACAUGCUUGGAAUACUAUAUAAGCUUUGUCUCAUAAACUACAGUCAAGUUUGUUCUUUUCACUGUGACUUCACUUGUGUGUAACGUAACAUCUGCAAGUGCCAUUUAUUUUUAUAUUAUUAUUAUUAUUUUUUUUUUAAUAAACAACGGUUGUUUACGGCAGCACAAAGAAUUGUGGGUUAUCUGUAGCAGCGAAGAACACACCCCACUUGCUUUUUUUGUCCUACUUGCUUUUCUGAAAAGAGACAGCCUCGAUGACGUGCAGCCUUCGAAUGCGACCUCCGUAGGGCGCAGCCUUUAAAAUGAGACACAGCUCAUGUCUCCAUGGUUUAAUUUCUGUUAUCAUGCAGGUGCAGUGAGGGAAAAAACAAAGAGUUUAGGGUGGUUGGUUCGUAGAUCUACUUCCACUGUGUGAUGGCCUUGCGAGAGGCUACCAAAAACUCUGUUAGUCAGAAAUUCAUCCGAAUAUACGUCUAUUCGACCUGACUCAAAAAAGAGUCACGUAAGUCAGAAUUUGGCUCAAAAUCAGACGAAAAUCACACUGCGUAUACCCGGCCUAAUGUGUCGAAAACGUCCCAGAGUUGUAAGGACAAAGAAAAGCAUUGGAGUGAAAUUGCCUCAUUUUUGAACAUACCGGGUGAAUGUAGAAAUGUGCUAGCAUGCUAGCAAACAUAUAUAAACAUUAGUUGCUGAAACAUCAAUGAUGAUCUACUGUGUGAGAUCACGUAAGGUGCUCCCUCUGGCAUGAUAAUUGUAAUAUCUUGUAGUGUGUGAUACGCCACGUUUUUCAAAUCGCGUAGUGUGUGCAUGUUUUAGAAAAAAAUCUUCAAAAAUUCUCCUUAUAUGUGUGCUGCAACCAUAUUUCAUAAUCAACUAAGAUUUUAAAACUCCUGUAGUCUUAGCCCAGCUUUAGUUUAUAGCUUUAUUUUGUGAAUGUGAGUGAAGAUAGUUUAAUGUUAGUGUCAAAGCAGCAAAUUUAGUUUCCGUCAGACAGAGAAGACAUCUGUAAUAGAACAUGUUACCAUAGCAAACCGAAGCGUGCACAGGAAUUCCUGCAGUGAAGUCCGCUGAAACGGUAAUGCACGAAGGAAGAACCUCUCGCACUCCUAACCGAGUGACGGAUCCCCUGGAGCACGCAAAACCAGCCAGAGAAUGCGUAUGGCAGCGUGCGGAAGUGCGGUGACAGUUCCCCCGCUGGGUUAAAAGAUGACAGAAUGAAAGGAACACACAUGCUGGGACAUCUUGUGUGAAAGGAUUGCCAAACUGCUUAGACCAAAUUUUUUGCAGAAAAAAAAAAGUGAAAGUUUUUUUUUUUUUGUUUUUUUUUUUGUGCUCCCUGAGGAUCUGAAAGUGGACUCACGUGGCUUGUUGUUGUUCUUGGCUUUAAUUUUAAAUUGAUGGCUUUGACAUUUGCCAGUAAGCUUGUGCCAAAAAAAAAAAAAGGAAUAAAAAAGAAGCCACAAACCUUAGCCAUCGACUAAAGCAAGUUGCAAAGCAAGUUUUUUUUUUUCUCUCUCUCUCUUCUAUUCUACUUGCUACUAUUAUUUUCAUGCAAUUUAUCAUUCUAAUCAAAUUCAUUUAUUGAUCCAGUUCUAUUUAACUGUUGAGUUUAGGUUUUGUCCUGCUGCUUAUGCUGUUGACAGAAUUCCCAUAUUUCAUUAUACA